rnacentral:rRNA from 1 species
UUAAAGGGCUGCAGUAUAUUGACUGUACAAAGGUAGCAUAAUCAUUAGUCAUUUAAUUGAUGACUUGUAUGAAGGAUUGGAUGAAAUAUAAACUGUCUCUUAAUUAUAUUUAGAAUUUAAUUUUUUAAUUAAAAAGUUAAAAUAAAUUAGAAAGACGAGAAGACCCUAUAGAGUUUUAUAAGUAAAAUUAAUUGAGAUUAUUUGUAAAAGUUAAAAUUAAGAUUAAUUUAUUUAUUUUGUUGGGGUGACAGAAAAAUAUAAAAAACUUUUUAUAUGUUUAAAACAUUAAUAAGUGGUUAAAUGAUCCAAUAUUAUUGAUUAUAAGAAAAAAUUACCUUAGGGAUAACAGCGUAAUUUUUUUUUUUAGUUCACAUAAAAAAAAAAGUUUGCGACCUCGAUGUUGGAUUAAGAUAAAAUUUAAAUGCAGAAG